rnacentral:rRNA from 1 species
UGCGAGCGGAGGGCGCGGUCGCAAGAUCGUGGCCCCGCACACGGCUCAGUAACACGUAGUCAACCUACCCUUGGGACGGGGACAACGCCGGGAAACUGGCGAUAAUCCCCGAUAGGUGAGGGAUGCUGGGAUGCUUCUUCGCUCAAAGCUCCGGCGCCCGAGGAUGGGACUGCGGCCUAUCAGGCUGUUGGUGGUGUGACGGACCACCAAACCUACGACGGGUACGGGCGAUGGGAGUCGGAGCCUGGAGAUGGGGACUGAGACAAGGCCCCAGGCCCUACGGGGCGCAGCAGGCGCGAAAACUCCGCAAUGCGCGCAAGCGUGACGGGGGAACCCCAAGUGCCGUUGGUCUUUUGAUCGACGGCUUUUCGGAAGUCCAAUAAGCUUCCGGAAUAAGGGCUGGGUAAGACUGGUGCCAGCCGCCGCGGUAACACCAGCAGCCCAAGUGGUGGCCGCGAUUAUUGGGCCUAAAGCGCUCGUAGCCGGAUCAGCAAGUCCUUUGUGAAAUCGGACCGCCCAACGGUUCGGCGUGCAAAGGAUACUGUUGGUCUUGAGACCGGGAGAGGUCGGAGGUACUCUUGGGGUAGCGGCGAAAUGCUGUAAUCCUGGGGGGACCACCAGUGGCGAAGGCGUCCGACCAGAACGGAUCUGACGGUGAGGGGCGAAGGCUAGGGGAGCGAACGGGAUUAGAUACCCCGGUAGUCCUAGCUGUAAAGCAUGCGGGCCAGGU